rnacentral:lncRNA from 1 species
AAGAUGAUAUUUUUUCCCACUUGAUUGAGCUUUUUUUUUUUUGGCUUUUCACUUCCUUUUCUUUUUCUCUUUGUUGGAGAUCUAUAGGGAAGAAGAGCCAAGAGAACCUAGGAGAUCGAAGGGGUUUCUUAGAUCUGCGAGGAAAAUCCGAGGGAUUUUUAGAUUUCGGUGGGGAGAAAAUUUUUGAUCAGAAGGAAGGGGUUUUGGGUACAUUCGAUUUGAUCCAACCUAAGUUUCAGCUCCAUUUUACCCACUUCGAUCCGAGACGGAUGCAGGGUGGGUAUGGAUUUGGGUUUUUUCCUAACGGAGUAGGUAUGAGGAUUGGUUGAUAUGAUCUAUAUUCAAUUUGUUGCCAUCUCUAAAUAGUAGCUCGAUCGAGUGUAAAUAUAUAAUAUGAUAAUGGACUUUGAGCUCUUUGAACCAGUAAUCUAAUUUGCAUCCCUUCUAAUAAAAAAGAUAAUUGAUAUGAUAAAUGCCAUAUGAGAUAGUACUUUUUAAAUGUCUUAAGUACUCUAAGUACUUUCUACUUCAAAGCACUAAGAGAACUAGUAUAUCUAUUAUGCUUUUCGACUACAUGAGCAAUAUUUGAUUUUCUAAAAUUCAUAGUAUGCAUCAAUGAACGA